GAUGAACGCUAGCGGGAGGCCUAACACAUGCAAGCCGAGCGGUAUUGUUUCUUCGGGAUUGAGAGAGCGGCGUACGGGUGCGUAACACGUGUGCAACCUGCCUUUAUCUGGGGGAUAGCCUUUCGAAAGGAAGAUUAAUACUCCAUAAUAUAUUGAACGGCAUCGUUUAAUAUUGAAAGCUCCGGCGGAUAGAGAUGGGCACGCGCAAGAUUGGCUAGUUGGUGAGGUAACGGCUCACCAAGGCGAUGAUCUUUAGGGGGGCUGAGAGGGUGAUCCCCCACGCGGGGACUGAGACACGGACCAGAAUCCUACGGGAGGCAGCAGUGAGGAAGAUGGGUCAAUGGGUGCAAGCCUGAACCAGCCAGCCCGCGUGAAGGACGACUGCCCUAUGGGUUGUAAACUUCUUUUGUAUAGGGAUAAACCUACCCUCGUGAGGGUAGCUGAAGGUACUAGACGAAUAAGCACCGGCUAACUCCGUG
rnacentral:rRNA from 1 species